CAAUAGCGUAUAUUUAAGUUGUUGCAGUUAAAAAGCUCGUAGUUGGAUUUCGGAUGGGACUUGCCGGUCCGUCGUUUCGAUGUGCACUGGCCAGUCCUAUCUUGUUGUCGGGGACUAGCUCCUGGGCUUCACUGUCCGGGACUGGGAGCCGACGAAGUUACUUUGAGUAAAUUAGAGUGUUCAAAGCAAGCCUACGCUCUGAAUAUAUUAGCAUGGAAUAACACGAUAGGACUCUGGCUUAUCUUGUUGGUCUGUGAGACCAGAGUAAUGAUUAAGAGGGACAGUCGGGGACAUUCGUAUUUCAUUGUCAGAGGUGAAAUUCUUGGAUUUAUGAAAGACGAACUUCUGCGAAANCANNNGUCAAGGAUGUUUUCAUNAA
rnacentral:rRNA from 1 species